GGUUUUUUGUGAUUAAUAAAAAAUCUGGCCUGCCCUAUGUUAAUAAAUGGCCGCGGUAUUUUGACCGUGCGAAGGUAGCAUAAUAAAUAGUCUAUUAAUUGUGGUCUGGAAUGAAAGGUUUUACGAGGGAUGGCUUUUUUAUUUUUAUUUAUGAAUUUAAAUUUUCAGUAAAAAUGCUGAUAUAUAUUAGGGGGACGAGAAGACCCUAUAGAGCUUUACAUUUUUAUUAUUUUUAGUAGGAAAUAAUUAUAUGUUUUGUUGGGGCGACAAUAAGUUUAAACACUUUUUUAUUCUUUUUUAUAGGUUAUAUGAUCCAUUAUUAAUGAAUUAAGACUAAGUUACCUUAGGGAUAACAGCGUAAUUUAAUUUUAGAGAUCUUAUCGAUAAUUAAGAUUGCGACCUCGAUGUUGGAUUAAAAUUCCUGUAUGGUGUAGUUGCCAUAUAAGGUAGUCUGUUCGACUAUUAAAUUUUUACAUGAUCU
rnacentral:rRNA from 1 species